rnacentral:rRNA from 1 species
AGUGAACGCUGGCGGUAGGCCUAACACAUGCAAGUCGAACGGCAGCACAGUAAGAGCUUGCUCUUACGGGUGGCGAGUGGCGGACGGGUGAGGAAUACAUCGGAAUCUACUUUUUCGUGGGGGAUAACGUAGGGAAACUUACGCUAAUACCGCAUACGACCUACGGGUGAAAGCAGGGGAUCUUCGGACCUUGCGCGAUUGAAUGAGCCGAUGUCGGAUUAGCUAGUUGGCGGGGUAAAGGCCCACCAAGGCGACGAUCCGUAGCUGGUCUGAGAGGAUGGGCAGCCAAACUGGAACUGAGACACGGUCCAGACUCCUACGGGAGGCAGCAGUGGGGAAUAUUGGACAAUGGGCGCAAGCCUGAUCCAGCCAUACCGCGUGGGUGAAGAAGGCCUUCGGGUUGUAAAGCCCUUUUGUUGGGAAAGAAAAGCAGCAGGUUAAUACCCCGCUGUUCUGACGGUACCCAAAGAAUAAGCACCGGCUAACUUCGUG